rnacentral:tmRNA from 2 species
GGGGGCGUACUGGUUUCGACUUGAAGAACGCGCCAGAGGUGGCAUGCCGAGGAUGGUACGUUGGCCUCGUAAAUCACCGAACCAAAAAUUAAAAGCUAACGAAGAACUAGCUCUCGCGGCCUAAGUGCCACGACGUUCGCCGCCGCAUACCUGCUCAGGUGGAUGAACGCUAUAGCAGGUUAGGGUAAUCGUGGAGACUGCGCGCGACUUGCCCGAAAUUUUGCAUGCGGACUAUGUAGUGCGACUCGGGUCGGGACGGUAUCGCAUCGCAGACAACUCUCUCCUGACUAAGCAUGUAGUCACGGCUGGUAAAUUAGUCAAGCACGCGGGUUCAACUCCCGCCGCCUCCACCA